rnacentral:rRNA from 1 species
AUGGCAGGACGACUUCCGGAGACGGAUUUCUUCCAGCAAUGGACCUGCACACAGGUGCUGCAUGGCUGUCGUCAGCUCGUGUCGUGAGAUGCUGGGUUAAGUCCCGCAACGAGCGCAACCCUCGCCUCUAGUUGCCAGCAUUAAGUUGGGCACUCUAGAGGGACUGCCGGUGAUAAGCCGAGAGGAAGGUGGGGAUGACGUCAAGUCCUCAUGGCCCUUACGGGCUGGGCUACACACGUGCUACAAUGGUGGUGACAGUGGGAUGCGAAAGGGCGACCUCUAGCAAAUCUCCAAAAGCCAUCUCAGUUCGGAUUGCACUCUGCAACUCGAGUGCAUGAAGUUGGAAUCGCUAGUAAUCGUGGAUCAGCAUGCCACGGUGAAUACGUUCCCGGGCCUU